GUGCUAGUUUUGGCAGCACAUGUACUAAAAUUGAAAUGAUCUAGAGAAGAUCAGUGUGGCUUUUGCACAGGAUGAUACACAAAUUCAUGAAACAUUUUAUAUCUCU
ensembl:snRNA U6 U6 spliceosomal RNA